AUGUGCUGAUGUGUAUGCGCUAUCCAGUUUAUUUUUUUAGGUCAGUGGGUACGCCUUGCACUGAAAAGGUCCCCAGUUUGAGGCUUUGCUAAGGCCUUUAUGUUUGCAUGUUGUCCACCUCCAUGCCUGCAUGGGUUUUUACAGAAGUGUCUCUCGCUCCAGACGCCGGGCGCAGUCCCGCCGCCAGUCGACAGGGGGCAGUGUCGCUCCGCACGGAGCAGCGCAGAGGGCAACUGAGGUGAGGAGCGGAGGUGCUCCGCUUGGUAGCGGCGACAAGCCCAAAAAUCUGCCCCCGCGGCCGCAGCAGGGUCCACAUUUGACCAAGAUCAUCCAGAUCCCCUAAUCUAACCCCCAAACAAGACAAGCAAAAACGUAGGGGGGGAGAAUAAACCUUGAGAAGAGACCACAGAUAAAGGGAUUGCACCCCCCACCCUGUUCGGGAUAGCAAAGCUGUAAUGGAUGCUGAAUGGCCAACAUUUAUCACAGAGAAGCGCGCGAGCUUGCAUUUUUAAAUAAGGCGGUUUGCCAGGCAAAGGAGCGAGAGGAAGACCAAAGAGAAGGUUGAUGGAUGUUGUGAGGGAAGACAUGAGGACAGUUGGUGUUAGAGAGGAAGAUGCAGGAGAUCGCCUUGAUGGAAAAAAAGAUGGCACGGUGUGGCGACUCCUCACGAGACAAGCCGAAAGGAAAAAAAGAAGGUCUGCACUAUUGUAGGCGCGCACACAGCCGACUUUAUCCGCAGCCAAUCAAAGUGGCUUUGAAAUGUGGCGCGCCAACUGUGACACAUGGAGACAUAUUUGUAAAGGAGAGGGGCAGUGAUCCGUGCGUCGUCCCUUCCCCAGCCACUUCCUCCAGCUCUUCUGGGGGAAUCCCGAGCCGUUCCCUGCUCAGCCAAGAAACCUGUGGCCGCAUAUAUAUUUAUAUAUUGAGAAAGAGAAUGAAAUAAGUGUAUUCAAUUUAAUUAUGUAAGCGACAUCUACUGACAAUUUAACACUGGCAAGGUUCAACAGCUUUCCAUCCAUUAGCUUCACUCCCUCCUUAGCCAUAAUUUUGUUGUUUUUUUUUUUUUUUUAUAAUGUGCAAAGGGGUGCAAUUUUCCAUUGCGUAUCACUCUGAUUUGAGAGCAUCUAUGGGAACGAAGGACUUUUUUUUUUUUUUUCCUCCAGUCUUUUGCAUUAGCUUUAAAAAUAUCUUUUACACGGCUACAUUCUCAACUAAUUGCUGGAGCAUUUGCAAUGAGACAAAGCUAUUAUUAGUAUUUAUUUUUUUAUUUGUCAAAGAUGUUGUCGAAUAAAAUGUGUUUUUGUUUACACUGCUCACAACCACACGUGAAAAGGCAAACAGGCUCCUUGUGUGGCGUCGCACUGAAUUCAUAAAUGCGUCCACUGAGUGUAAAAUAGUUGCGGUUACAUCAAUUACUGGUGGUCUGUAUGUUAAGUCGAUGCCAUCUGUGACCUCGUUGUUAUGAUGUUUGCCUGGUUAUUAACCACAUGAAGUUAAAUACGAACGUAGUAUUUUCACUGUGAUUAUGAAAGUCACAAUUAUCCUUGUUUUCACAUUACAGUACUGUCUGUAAAAAUCAGGCCCACAAAAGAGCAUAACUUGCAUUCCUCUUACCGAGGCAACACUUUUGUCAAAUUCUAACUAAAAACAAAUGACAUCAUUAAGCAAAAUAUAAACAAAAGAGGUCAGACGCCAUCGAGCAGUUUACAAUGGAGUUUGCACGUCAAAAAUG